AACGAACGCUGGCGGCAGGCUUAACACAUGCAAGUCGAGCGCCCCGCAAGGGGAGCGGCAGACGGGUGAGUAACACGUGGGAAUCUACCCAUCCCUACGGAACAACUCCGGGAAACUGGAGCUAAUACCGUAUACGCCCUUCGGGGGAAAGAUUUAUCGGGGAUGGAUGAGCCCGCGUUGGAUUAGCUAGUUGGUGGGGUAAAGGCCUACCAAGGCGACGAUCCAUAGCUGGUCUGAGAGGAUGAUCAGCCACAUUGGGACUGAGACACGGCCCAAACUCCUACGGGAGGCAGCAGUGGGGAAUAUUGGACAAUGGGCGCAAGCCUGAUCCAGCCAUGCCGCGUGAAUGAUGAAGGCCUUAGGGUUGUAAAGUUCUUUCACCGAUGAAGAUAAUGACGGUAGUCGGAGAAGAAGCCCCGGCAAACUUCGUGCCAGCAGCCGCGGUAA
rnacentral:rRNA from 1 species